AACGAACGCUGGCGGCAUGCCUAACACAUGCAAGUCGAACGAGACCUUCGGGUCUAGUGGCGCACGGGUGCGUAACGCGUGGGAAUCUGCCCUUGGGUUCGGAAUAACAGUGAGAAAUUACUGCUAAUACCGGAUGAUGUCUUCGGACCAAAGAUUUAUCGCCCAGGGAUGAGCCCGCGUAGGAUUAGCUAGUUGGUGGGGUAAUGGCCUACCAAGGCGACGAUCCUUAGCUGGUCUGAGAGGAUGAUCAGCCACACUGGGACUGAGACACGGCCCAGACUCCUACGGGAGGCAGCAGUGGGGAAUAUUGGACAAUGGGCGCAAGCCUGAUCCAGCAAUGCCGCGUGAGUGAUGAAGGCCUUAGGGUUGUAAAGCUCUUUUACCCGGGAUGAUAAUGACAGUACCGGGAGAAAAAGCUCCGGCUAACUCCGUG
rnacentral:rRNA from 1 species